rnacentral:rRNA from 1 species
GAUGAACGCUGACAGAAUGCUUAACACAUGCAAGUCUUUGGCGAAGCUGUGCUUGCACAGCCUAGCCAAGGCGGACGGGUGAGUAACGCGUAAGGAACUUGCCCUGCAGUCAGGGAUAACAGACGGAAACGACUGAUAAGACCUGGUAAAGUCAGGCGGACUCAUGUCCAGCCUGAUGAAAAGAGAUGCUGCAGGAGAGCCUUGCGUCCUAUUAGCUUGUUGGUGGGGUAACGGCCCACCAAGGCGAUGAUAGGUAGCCGGCCUGAGGGGGUGGACGGCCACAAGGGGACUGAGAUACGGCCCUUACUCCUACGGGAGGCAGCAGUGGGGAAUAUUGGACAAUGGGGGCAACCCUGAUCCAGCAAUUCUGUGUGCACGAUGAAGGUUUUCGGAUUGUAAAGUGCUUUCAGCAGGGAAGAAAAAAUGACGGUACCUGCAGAAGAAGCGACGGCUAAAUACGUG